GGCAGACGCUGGUUGCUCGCUUCGGCAACGAAGUGCGGCUUCUUUGUGUUUGUCAUCCUUCUAGAUUGGGGUGGCGCUCGGUUUACUCCUCGUGUCGCCUUUGUCUAGAUUUUUUACUUUGAAGAAAUUAGAGUGUUCAAAGCAGGCAUAUCGCUUUGCAUACAUUAGCAUGGAAUAAUACUAUAGGACUUUGGUUCUAUUGUGUUGGUCUAGAACUGAAGUA
rnacentral:rRNA from 1 species